GAUGAACGCUGGCGGCGUGCCUAAUACAUGCAAGUCGAGCGAAGCGGGGACGGGUGAGUAACACGUGGAUAACCUCCUAUAAGACUGGGAUAACUUCGGGAAACCGGAGCUAACACGGAUACCUAUAGAUGGCUCCGCACUGUAGUAGCGAGUUGGUAAGGUAACGGCUUACCAAGGCAACGAUGCAUAGCCGACCUGAGAGGAUGGUCAGCCACACUGGAACUGAGACACGGUCCAUACUCCUACGUGAGGCAGCAGUAGGGAAUCUUCCGCAAUGGGCGAAAGCCUGACGGCGCAACGCCGCGUGAGUGAUGAAGGUCUUCGGAUCGUAAAACUCUGUUAUUAGGGAAGCGGUACCUAAUCAGAAAGCCUCGGCUAACUCCGUGCCAGCAGCCGCGGUAAUAC
rnacentral:rRNA from 1 species